AUUGAACGCUGGCGGCAGGCUUAACACAUGCAAGUCGAGCGGAGCGAGGGUGCUUGCACCUUAGCUUAGCGGCGGACGGGUGAGUAAUGCUUAGGAAUCUGCCUAUUAGUGGGGGACAACAUUCCGAAAGGAAUGCUAAUACCGCAUACGCCCUACGGGGGAAAGCAGGGGAUCUUCGGACCUUGCGCUAAUAGAUGAGCCUAAGUCGGAUUAGCUAGUUGGUGGGGUAAAGGACUACCAAGGCGACGAUCUGCAGCGGGUCUGAGAGGAUGAUCCGCCACACUGGGACUGAGACACGGCCCAGACUCCUACGGGAGGCAGCAGUGGGGAAUAUUGGACAAUGGGCGGAAGCCUGAUCCAGCCAUGCCGCGUGUGUGAAGAAGGCCUUUUGGUUGUAAAGCACUUUAAGCGAGGAGGAGGCUCUUAAGGUUAAUACCCAAGAUGAGUGGACGUUACUCGCAGAAUAAGCACCGGCUAACUCUGUGCCAGCAGCCGCAGUAAGAC
rnacentral:rRNA from 1 species